GCAACUCCCAGGUGAUAAUUAAAGUGUAAUACUUAUGGAGUCCACUGAUUUCUAGAAACAAACUAGCAAAGAGCCAAAGACUACCACCAUUAACAGCACAACAGAUAUCUUUCAACAAAAUUUUGUAGCCCCCUGGCAAAUAUGAAAUUGAAGAUUCCUAGACAGAGAGUGCUCCAGACAAAAUUAACUGAAAUGAAAGGUAAUCCUCCACA
rnacentral:misc_RNA from 1 species